UGGCUCCGGUGGCCUAGUAGUUAGAGAGUCCGCCUUGGAUGCUGGAGGACGUGGGUUCGAUCACCACCCAAUCAU